rnacentral:misc_RNA from 1 species
GGAAGGGUGAGCGUAGUUUCACUUUUGGGGGCUCAAAACAUUCAGAGUGUAAGAAUACAGGAGAAUGACUUUGACGUGUCCUUCUUCAGAAUGCUUUCUCAGUUGUGCCGUCUAAAAGUUGACCUCCUAAGAGAUUCAGGGAUUUUCAGAACAUGGAUGACGGACGAACUUGUUUCCUAUGUCGAAGAAGUUGAAAUCAGAGACAAAUUCGAGCUUUUCCCUCCACUAAAGGGGUUCCCCAAUUUGAAGAACCUUGACAUCGUUGGCUGUUCCAGUCUCGAAAGCCCUUUUGCAGAAAGGGCAAGUCAUGGAGACUUCACAUCUUUGAGUUCCUUGAGAAUCUAUUCCUGCCCUGAUUCAGUGUUUUUCCAGAAAGGAGUAUCAUUGAAUUUAACAAGUCUUGUGUUAUGGGGUUGCUCCCAGUUGAAAUCAUUGCCUGAAGGUAUGAA